UUUAGAUGCCAUAGGCUGGUGACCAUCCAGAAAACAGGAAUCUGAAAUGUUUUUCCACUGACGGCCAAACACGAUGAGUCACAAACUCCACCGCACAAGCUUUGGAGCAGCUGAUGAGGCCUCUAAGAAAGGCUUUAAGGUGAUCCAGUAGAGAAUAAGAACCUGAUGGGGGACCUAUACCAAAGGUUGAUCCAUAAAGUAGCCAUAGGCCCUAAAAAUGCUGUCUUGGAAGGAAAACAGCAAGAAGCCAAUGAGCUACAGAGCUGGGAAUUGAAAAGAUGGUAACCAGUGAUUUUAAGAUUUAACUGGUCCUACCUGACAGAUUACUUUGUACGGUCCUUGGCAUUUACAGUCCUUGGAUUUGGCACUUGGGAGAAGCAGAAGUAUCCAAUCUCUAAGUUUAAAUGUGCUUUCUGUGGAGGGGACUGCAGGAUCCCCCAGCAUCCUUUGUCCAGGCUUGGCUGGCCUUCGAGAGGGGACCAGGCUGAAGCACUCCAGUUUGCUGGCCCCCCAGGAGGCUGCUGUUUCUGGAACUGGGGGUGAUACACUGUACUUCAAAGUAGCACCCUGUAACCUCAUAUUCAUCAUUUGUAUAUGGUUGUGAUAUUUCAUACAAAGCAUGCCAUGUAAGAUACCAUAUGAAAGGUCAUAAUCUGCUGAAACUCAUUGUUCUGUCAAAAUAUGUAUAUCGUUACUGUGUAUGAAUUUUUGAGAUUUUUCAAUAUGGUUGUUAUUGAAAUAUGUUGUGAGUUUGGGAGACCCCCACCGCUAGCUCUCCAGUGACAACAAAGUGACACCCAAACAGGCAUUAAGUGACACCCAAACAGGCAUCACAAGCCAUUGGCCAGCAGGGGAAUUAUAAAUAAGAGAUUUACAAUUCUGGAAGAAACAGUUGCAUGAGCACCACACAAUGGAGAUUGCUCAACUCUGGGACUCAGCAAGGCCAACAGGACACGUCUGGGCCAGUAACUUCUCUGGGACAUGAACUGAGAGUAUAAAAUAAGGGACAGUGGCAUCAUGAGACCCCAUGAAGGCAACAAGAUCACUGGGAAGACAAAGACUUUGAACUGAGGAGAUUGGUCUCAGACUCAGAAGGAACUUCAGCGUGUGUAUUAAGAACUAUAACCUACCUGCAACAUCCAGUGGGAGUGAAAAAACUGUUUGAUUUGACUCUUGCUUAGUCUGAAAGUUUAGAACAUGUGUUUACGUAAGAAAAUAAAAUAUAACUCUCUAUGACCUUUCUGCCUAUCACUUAUAAUCACUUAAAAACUUUCUAUAGUUAAUAAACUUGUUUUAAUGGUUUAUCCUUAACAGAAAGUGUGUCUA